CUCCCAUCCCGGAAUGCUGUGUGGACUAGCCAGAGCCUCCUCCGCAGCGCUGUGGAGGAAGGUCUGGCAAUGCGAGACUAGCUUUCAUAGGGUCCUUCUCUCCUCAGAGGCUUGUCAGGUUUGCAGUUUUGAUCUCCAGUGUGGAUUAGAAGCUGAUCCAACAACUUCAUCAGCAGAGACUUCAUUUGUCUCCAAGUUUCUGAGGAGCUGAAACGGCACAUAAAGAAACUGACAAGACUGACUCUUUGACAAACUGAUUUACAGGCAGCUGCUCUUCACAGUAUUAUGUAGGGAUGGCUUUUGAAUGAUGCUAAACAUACACAGUUUUGACUUAUUAUACAUCAAAUAGCAUUACCUAGUAAGCAGUCGUUUGAUGAUUUGCAGGUCAAUAGCUGGUGAGUUAAAAUUGGACUUAAAGGUGCCCUGUGGAGUUUUAUGUAAACAAACAGAACAAGCAGUCUUCUUCUUCUUUGCCUUUUUUGGCAAAUUGCUAAGUUUCUCUGCCAAAGCGGCAGUUUUUAAAGUUUUUUAAACUCUCCCCUAAUCAAUAUUUUUACAUUGCAUACACAUAGUUAUUACCCACAGUAAAUCUGUACAAAGCUUAUUGUUUUGGGGUCAUCAACCUUAUCUUCAGCUACAACAGGAAGCUGUUUUCUGUCAUAAAAGCUCUGAUAAACACACGUUACGACAGAAACAACAAACAUUUAGCAACUAAAGAGACAGAUAUUUUUCUGAGCAGGUGGUGGAGGCCAAAAUCCCGUGGACAGAAACAAGGCUCCGCAUGAAUGCUGUUCUGUCUGCUGGAUGUGUAAAUUGGCAAAUGUUUGCUGGCAACCUUAUGAGGAGAUAAUAUAUUUUAGGGCUGCCAUGAGCAGAAAGAAAAGUUAGUUAGGCAGCUUUUAGCGCAGAUUUAACCUCAAUAUCUAGUUUUUUUAACCUGCAAAUCACCAAACCAGUUUAGGGUGUGCUUUUUUUCAUGGAAAUUUAAAAAAAUAGAAGAAGCAACUAACAAAGAAUUUGGAAAGCGCUAUCUGUCACUGCAUUUGACAGAUGAAGCGAUUAUGAGGAAGAGAAAAAAGAUGAGAAUAAACAGAUGGAUGCCGGCCGUGUACGAUUUACAACUGUCUGUGUUUACUGCCAGAAGUUCGGAUGUUUCAGCAUAAAUGCACAUGUGUAUAUGCACCUCAAACACACGCACACACACACACAUGCCAAACGCCAAACCAACCAUAACAGACAAGCUUUUUCUUCUGUUUUAUGCCUCUCUCAAUGGGGUUUAAUCUUUACAGUUGCUCUUGAAUCCAAAAAGGUUGGUACCUCACAAGUGUCCUUGCAGCAACCUGUCUUUUUAUUCAGUCAUGUUUUAUAUUUGAAGGAAAUAUUUUUUAGUGCACCUUAAAAUUUGGCAAACAUAACAAAUCUCAAAGGGCUGUAGUUGAAUACUCUCCACUUCUAUAUUCUGUAGUGAAAUCGGUCUGUGUAAGCUCUCCUUCUCUUUUUUCAAAAUCAAAAAUUGUCUGGCCCACUUUCUUUUUAAUGAAAAUGAAUCAGCACACAUGACGUUUAUUUAAGAGUUUGUGUUCAUGUGAGGGAAAAAUGUUGGAUAUGAAUUUGAGUUUUCAAGGCGGCUGCUGCCAGAAAUUAUUUUCUCUACCUCAUGUUCAAGUGCCUUGGUUUUUGUUGAGGGUUUCUGUUUUAAACCACAA